GUAAGUACUGUGCUGUUAUUACUGUCAGGAGUAUGUUUUCAGCAUUACUGGCAGCCUAUGCAAACCUUGCAUGAUGUUCUGCUGAAGUGAUGCCCCUGGACAGACAUCCUUGCUCCUGCUAUCCUGCAAUAUGCCGUGCUUUCUGCUGCAAAGGCAGCGUUUUGGGCUUGCCCUGCACUGGUGUUUUGAGGAAAGAACACUUUCAGUUCUUGGCUGAAAUAAUUCAUGUUCCACGGGAGCUGUGUGUUCUCAGUGAAUGGGUAGCAGAACCUCAGACUAGAACCAGGUCUUCUAAUUAACUGGCUUCAGAAGUGUGGUUAUUAUCGCUAACUACAUUUUUUUGAACAGCUUGUGAACUGCAGGGAAGUUGAACAGCACUUGGGCAAGGUAGCUCGGCCUACAGACUUGCCAUGUGUUUGAUGCAGCUGUGCUCAGAGAGGAAACUUCAGGAGCCAAGGAGUGUGAUUUCUCAAUAACCUGAUGGGCAGCAGGUAAAGCAGGGGGCUGGGACAGGGCUCCUGGGGGCAUCUGAGCGUCUGCAUUGCCUGCCUGUGCUCCUCUUGGAACAAAGGACUGCACUGUGCCCAUCAUGGAGGGGACUUUGUUGAGGUACUGGAGCCCCAGUCAGACAUCAGGGGUCUGUCACACAGCAUCACCCCGGGAAUGAAGUGGCCCCUCGUGCUCAUGGUUGAGCUGCUAUGGGCUGUUUUGGCACUUAGGUAACAAUGUGAUUUCCUGUCUCAUGACAGUUCAGAUAUUAAAGGUCACAUCUGCCUAAUACUUUCAGUCUUAACUAUGGCAAACUUUCCCAGCGCUUCUAAAGCAGACAUUUGUGGUAUGGUUCCCUUCUGAACCAUAUUCAGAAACCAGAGGUUGUUCUGUAGCUCUUUAUCAUUAUUGUUGCUACUACUAGUAGGUCUUGUACAGGGAUUACUCAGAACAGCAGCACAACAACAACUCUGCCCAGAGAAGGAAAGGUCAGGAUCUUCAGGUGCUGCUGCCACAAGCCUGCAGCCCGCUGUUCUGCGUCUCAGCAGCAGAUCUUGGUCAAAGCUGCACCAAAGAACAACUCCAGGGACAGCCCUCUCCUCUCUCCUGCUGUCUGUCCUUACCGUGCCUCGCAGCCUGUGAGGAUGCUGCAGAUGCACUCUGUGUGAACACUCAGGAGAUGAGGGAGCAGGAGAAAGGACACGCACAGAUUGAGGCUAAGGAGAAAAGAAACCCCAUGUGGUAAUUGCUUGCUAGAAAUAAAUGCAAGGGACUGAAUUCUUGGUGGCUCCAUGCAGAUUCACAGCAGCUGAGAAUCUGUCCCUGGAAACUGCAAGGGGUGCUAUGGCUGUGACUGUGUAUGCAAGCUUCAGGUUAUCUGUAUAAUGAGGUAGUCCAAAAAGUUGGAAGCUUUGUGCAAAUAUCUGAGAAUAUCCCCAGGACAGCAGGAGCCUUUGUGCUCGUCCUUAACCAGGUGGUAUUUGCCCGGCUUUCUGGAGCAGCUUGAAGUCCCCUUCAGAACAAAACCACCUUUAACAAACACAAACGUACUUUGUGUUCUCUAUGGAAGCCCAGUGCCCAGGCCAUGUUACUAUGUUACUGAACUCUAGUUUUUGCUGUGCUUCAACACAGUUAAAAGCCUGAAAGCUGAGCCAUUUUAAAGCAUCCCAUAAGACCCUUGAGUCAUGCAAAAUCCUAUCCCGUUUUUCCCUCUGGGUGAAGAGUUAUGAAUGAUAGAAGUGCUUUUAAAUCAUAGAUAAAGAAUGCUGAGUGAUGGGUUAGUAAAAAUAAUUUUAAGAACUCCCUUUUUUCAUCUAGAUUUUAUUUCCCUGGGUGUGAAUUCAACAGGUGGGGCUGAAAUAUCACAGCUUGCCCCCCAAAAGGAGCGGCGUGCAGCUGAAUCCCCGCAAGAGUCACUAUUCCUUUUCUUGCUUUCUUUACUGCUUCAGGCAAAUUAUGAUUGUAAUACUUCUCCGUUCUCUAGCACAGCUCAUUUCCCCACCCUGUACCAGCUCAAUUUCUCUGGCAGGACUGCUGGGAAUGGCGGACCGCUGCUUCCGUCUGCUCCCAAACCUCCUGCUGACAAAACUGCACCUCUGUGAUCCUACCCAACCUGCUUCUGACCCAGCCGGGUAGGCAGGGGGGUCAACGUGGUGUCCUCUGUGCUUGCAUCUACCAGUGCUGCUCUGCCAGCUGCUGACCCAGCACCAUGAGGAUACUCAGAUCCCCUGGAUAUUCUUCUUACUAGAAUAAAGCUACCUGGAACUACUGCUUGGUUCCGGAGGUAAGUGCUGCACUGCCCUUCCAUUCUACUUUUCCAUAUUUGCUACCUAUUACAGUGUUAAUCAUUGGGAUCCCUCUCUUUUCAGUUUCCUUUCCCUGAAACGCGGUGGUCAGACUUCCCAGACCGUGCAUUCUUUGUUGACCAGGAAUUUCUAAAUGCCAAAACAGAGCCAAAUGGAAAUGCUUUGCAGGGGGUUUUGUUACCGCGAGCCAUAGAAACAUUCAAUCAGGAAAAUAAGUCUCUCUUUUGAUUUCAGUCACCA
ensembl:lncRNA